CUGAACCAGCCAAGUAGCGUGAAGGAUGACUGCCCUAUGGGUUGUAAACUUCUUUUAUACGGGAAUAAAGUGAGGCACGUGUGCCUUUUUGUAUGUACCGUAUGAAUAAGGAUCGGCUAACUCCGUGCCAGCAGCCGCGGUAAUACGGAGGAUCCGAGCGUUAUCCGGAUUUAUUGGCUUUAAAGGGAGCGUAGGCGGACGCUUAAGUCAGUUGUGAAAGUUUGCGG
rnacentral:rRNA from 1 species